UUUGGGGGAAACAACCAAGUUAAAAACCAAGAUGAUCUUAGUUGGAUUUGAGGGAAACAACCCAGUGAGAAACUAAGACAAUCUUAGCUGGAUUGGAGGG